rnacentral:tRNA from 1 species
GCGGGAUUAGUUUAGUGGUAAAAUGCGACCUUCCCAAGGUUGAGACACGAGUUCGAUUCUCGUAUCCCGCA